rnacentral:rRNA from 1 species
CAGAAUUUAUUGGGUUAAAGGGUGGCGUAGUCGACCUUGUAAGUCAGCGUGAAAUUUUGCAGCUAACUGUAAAAGCGCCGUUGAUACUGUGAGGCUAGGAUUUCGGUUGCUGUGGGCGGAAUGUGUGGUGUAGCGGUGAAAUGCUUAGAGAUCACACAGAAUAUCGAUUGCGAAGGCAGCUCACAAAGCCAAGAUUGACGCUGAGGCACGAAAGUGUGGGGAUCAAACAGGAUUAGAUACCCUGGUAGUACACACUGUAAACGAUGAUAACUCGCUGUCGGCGAUAGACCGUCGGUGUCCAAGCGAAAGCGAUAAGUUAUCCACCCUGGGGAGUACGACCGCAAGGUUGAAACUCAAAGGAAUUGACGGGGGCCCGCACAAGCGGAGGAACAUGUGGUUUAAUUCGAUGAUACGCGAGGAACCUUACCCGGGCUCGAACGGUGCAUGAAUGUUCAAGAGAUUGGACAGUCCUUCGGGACAUGUAUCGAGGUGCUGCAUGGUUGUCGUCAGCUCGUGCCGUGAGGUGUCGGCUUAAGUGCCAUAACGAGCGCAACCCUUGUCAUUAGUUACCAUCAGGUUAAGCUGGGGACUCUAGUGAGACUGCCACCGUAAGGUGUGAGGAAGGGGGGGAUGACGUCAAAUCAGCACGGCCCUUAUGUCCGGGGCGACACACGUGUUACAAUGGGAGGUACAGAGAGCAGCCAGUUAGUGAUAACGCGCCAAUCUCAAAAACCUUUCUCAGUUCGGAUUGGAGUCUGCAACUCGACUCCAUGAAGUUGGAUUCGCUAGUAAUCGCGCAUCAGC